ensembl:lncRNA FAM86DP family with sequence similarity 86 member D, pseudogene
AGAGUUUCGAGCGCCGCUUCCUGGCGGCGCGCACGCUGCGCUCCUUCCCCUGGCAGGGGGGCGGCGGGCGAGCGGAGAGGCCCGCGGGGCUCGCGGGAGUCCAGGGGCAGACGGGAUGGGUCUCCGUGCUGAAACCCCCGGCGCUCCUGCCACAGCUUAGAAGCAAAGUUAAGAGACUCAUCAGAUUCUGAGCUGCUGCGGGAUAUUUUGCAGAAGACUGUGAAGCAUCCUGUGUGUGUGUGAAGCACCCGCCGUCAGUCAAGAAAGCCCGGUGCUUUCUCUCAGAACUCAUCAAAAAGCCCUCGGGAGGCUCAGUCACACUCUCCGAGAGCACAGCCAUCAUCUCCCAUGGUACCACAGGCCUGGUCACAUGGGAUGCCACCCUCUACCUUGCAGAAUGGGCCAUCGAGAACCCAGCAGCCUUCACUAACAGUAACCUGAAGCUUUCACCGUAGACGUGCUGUAUUGCCCAGAAGCCAUCGUGUCGCUGGUCGGGAUCCUGCGGAGGCUGGCUGCCUGCUGGGAGCACCAGCAGUCUCCUGAGGUCUACGUGGCCUUUACCGUCCACAACCCAGAGACGUGCCAGCUGUUCACCACCGAGCUAGGCCGGGCUGGGAUCAUAUGGGAAGCGGAAGCUCAUCAUGACCAGAAACUGUUUCCCUAUGGAGAGCACUUGGAGAUGGCAAUGCUGAACCUCACACUGUAGGACUCACACACGACUCCAACGGGAUUGUGAGAAUCAAGUCAAUCUCAUGGGAAGAAUUUUUAUAUGGGAAAGCGGAUAAAACUUUCAUUGUACUGGAAUGUUUGGAGAAUGUUAAAUUCCAAAUCAGAAACCACAAACUGCCCUCUAAUAAGACAUCGGCUAUCUAAGCGUG